rnacentral:rRNA from 1 species
CGGCGGACGGGUGAGUAACACGUGGAUAACCUACCUAUAAGACUGGGAUAACUUCGGGAAACCGGAGCUAAUACCGGAUAAUAUAUUGAACCGCAUGGUUCAAUGGUGAAAGACGGUUUUGCUGUCACUUAUAGAUGGAUCCGCGCCGCAUUAGCUAGUUGGUAAGGUAACGGCUUACCAAGGCAACGAUGCGUAGCCGACCUGAGAGGGUGAUCGGCCACGCUGGAACUGAGACACGGUCCAG